rnacentral:rRNA from 1 species
AGUUGUAUCCUGGCUCAGGAUGAACGCUGGCGGUAUGCUUAACACAUGCAAGUCGAACGAAAGUUUUUAACUUUAGUGGCGAACGGGUGCGUAAUACGUGAGAAUCUGCCCUUAGGAGGAGUAUAACUGCUGGAAACGGCUGCUAACACUCCAUAUGUCGAGAGAUGAAAUAAUUUAUUGCCUAAGGAUGAGCUCGCGCCUGAUUAGCUAGUUGGUGAGGUAAUGGCUCACCAAGGCCACGAUCAGUAGCUGGUUUGAGAGAACGAUCAGCCACACUGGGACUGAGACACGGCCCAGACUCCUCCGGGAGGCAGCAGUGAGGAAUUUUCCGCAAUGGGCGAAAGCCUGACGGAGCAAUACCGCGUGAGGGAUGAAGGAUUUUGGUCUGUAAACCUCUUUUCUCAAGAAAGAAGUUCUGACGGUACUUGAGGAAUAAGCAUCGGCUAACUCCGUGCCAGCAGCCGCGGUAAUACGGGGGAUGCAAGCGUUAUCCGGAAUCAUUGGGCGUAAAGCGCCUGUAGGUUGUUUAAUAAGUCUGUUGUUAAAGACUAGGGCUUAACCCUAGAAAAGCAAUGGAAACUACUAGACUAGAGUAUGGCAGGGGUAGAGGGAAUUUCUAGUGUAGCGGUGAAAUGCGUAGAUAUUAGAAAGAACACCGGUGGCGAAAGCGCUCUACUGGACCAUUACUGACACUCAGAGGCGAAAGCUAGGGUAGCAAAAGGGAUUAGAUACCCCUGUAGUCCUAGCCGUAAACGAUGGAUACUAGAUGUUGUGCUUUAUGUACAGUAUCGUAGCUAACGCGUUAAGUAUCCCGCCUGGGGAGUACGCUCGCANGGUGAAANCUCAAAGGAAUUGACGGGG